AGUAAAAGUCGUAACAAGGUCUCCGUAGGUGAACCUGCGGAGGGAUCAUUACACAAAUAUGAAGGCGGGCUGGAACCUCUCGGGGUUACAGCCUUGCUGAAUUAUUCACCCUUGUCUUUUGCGUACUUCUUGUUUCCUUGGUGGGUUCGCCCACCACUAGGACAAACAUAAACCUUUUGUAAUUGCAAUCAGCGUCAGUAACAAAUUAAUAAUUACAACUUUCAACAACGGAUCUCUUGGUUCUGGCAUCGAUGAAGAACGCAGCGAAAUGCGAUAAGUAGUGUGAAUUGCAGAAUUCAGUGAAUCAUCGAAUCUUUGAACGCACAUUGCGCCCUUUGGUAUUCCAAUGGGCAUGCCUGUUCGAGCGUCAUUUGUACCCUCAAGCUUUGCUUGGUGUUGGGCGUCUUGUCUCUAGCUUUGCUGGAGACUCGCCUUAAAGUAAUUGGCAGCCGGCCUACUGGUUUCGGAGCGCAGCACAAGUCGCACUCUCUAUCAGCAAAGGUCUAGCAUCCAUUAAGCCUUUUUUUCAACUUUUGACCUCGGAUCAGGUAGGGAUACCCGCUGAACUUAAGCAUAUCAAUAAGCGGAGGAAAAGAAACCAACAGGGAUUGCCCCAGUAACG
rnacentral:rRNA from 1 species